UACGAAGGGUGCAAGCGUUAAUCGGAAUUACUGGGCGUAAAGCGUGCGUAGGCGGUGAUUUAAGUCUGCUGUGAAAUCCCCGGGCUCAACCUGGGAAUGGCAGUGGAUACUGGCAGGCUAGAGUGCGGUAGAGGAUGGCGGAAUUCCCGGUGUAGCAGUGAAAUGCGUAGAGAUCGGGAGGAACAUCUGUGGCGAAGGCGGCCAUCUGGACCAGCACUGACACUGAGGCACGAAAGCGUGGGGAGCAAACAGG
rnacentral:rRNA from 1 species